AAGAGUCAUGCGGGAUCCAUUCGCAUUCAUUCGGGUCGAAUUGGUUCUCAUAUAUAAACACAUAACCCGGGCUUCAUCCUCACUUUUUCAUCUCGAACUAGGGUUUCUCAAGCCUCUCUCCCUCUGCUCUCUAAGACUCUUCAUGGAUCUGCGUAUAAUCCAUCCGAUUCAAGGGUUUCAUAACAAUCGAUCUAUUUACAACUACAUCAAGGGUUUCUUCAUCUUCGAUCAAUUCUCUUUUCUGAUCUGAUAAUAAAAUGUCGCUAUCUCCAAGGUAAGUAGCAUCAACUCUACAACCUUGGCUGGCUAUAUAGCAUCAGUGCAAAAGCUUCAAUAAAAAAAACCAUCUACUCCUGGCGAGCUGGAUAGAGGGAUCGCUAAUGAUGUAGCAUUUGGAUAACAUUGGUGUUGCACCUCUACCAAAAAGAAACAACAUUCAACCACUUUGGAUCACUUCUCUGCAUCAGGUGUUUUCUUUGCCAGAUACUUUUAAAAUUACUAGAACAAUGUAUUUUCUUAAAGCAAAUAUUUGCCCUAUUUGCAAGAUGACUGAAUUGACUUCUUUGAAUUUGUUAAAACAAUAAUUUUUCCUCAAAGCAAAUAUUUGGAGAUUUUUAUUAAUGGAUUUUAGAUAGGAUUUUAAUUAACUUUAAAAGUGUUUUAUUUAAAAAAGCUAAUUAAAGUCCUUUCUUGAUUUUUUGGAGUGAUAAGCAGCUAUCUAGAAGGAUCCAUUAAGGCCCGAACCGUUAUUUGAUUUGCUGAAUCCAUUUUAAAUUGUUAUUAUGAAGUAUUGACAUUUAUUUUCUUAAUGUGACUCAUUUCUUUCUAAACCUACAAACUACUCAAACUCAUAUAAUCAUAGAAACCAUGAAGCCACAUCAAUAGUACCUUUAGAUAUGUUUACAUGUAACUCACUGAUAAUUUGUUUUACUUUUUGUCUAUUUUUCUUAUUUUUGUAACAUAAAUUAUAUUUAUUUGCAUGUUUAUUUUGAUUAUUCUUGCAGGUUGCACACAUAAUACUUGUGUGUCAAUACAUUUACAGCUACGUUGUGGGUAAGUGGAUAUCCCUCUACCAUUUAACAAAGAAAUAUUAUAGAUCAGUGCCCACUGGACACACAAAGUUUAAAAAGCCAAAGUUAAAGUUACCCGUAUACAAGGUUUGUUAAUAGUUUUUUUUUAUUCAUGGAAGGUAUUAUUUGAAUAAAGAGAUUAAGAGGUGCCCAACAAAUUAGUGAAAUUUUUUGCUCGACUAUUUUGGGGGCAAGGUGACCCAACUUAAAUAGCCUGUUACCCAACCCGCCUAUGUUGCCCCUACCAAUUAUUCAUGAUUAUUUGCUAAUAUUUACAAACACACGUUAUCUUUCUACCCACCUCCAUUUAAAAAGAUUUAAUAUAUAUUUUUACAUGAUUUUUUGCUUGCGGAUUGUUGGUGGUAAUUUGGUAUAUCGACACACAAAAGUGGUGGUAAACAGGUGCUUGGUUUUGGAGUUGUCUCGUGGUUGAUUGCAACCUUUUUGACACAUAUUCUCUUGCUUAGGCCACUAAUGUGGUCGAGGAUUAUUUUCCUUUACGAAUUAACAAUUCAAGCCGAAAACGAAAAAGGGCCACACACCAACACACCAGGCGAAAAUUAUUUCAAAAAUCAAUUAAUGUCACAAAUAGUUUAAGCGGGAAAUUUGACAAAAUGUACAAAAGGUACUGCAUAUGCCAAUGACUUGGCAUUUUAAUUAAUUUGGAAAAUAAACAUGUAGACUUGCACGAGCAUGCCUUGAGUUUACAUACUACCGUAUAACAAAUUGCUAUGAUCGAUCGACUUGGAUAUACAUGACUAUAUGUUUGACUCAAAAAGUCAAAGCAUAUUACUGGAUCAGAUGUGGUUCUUGUGUUUUGAUGGCAGGAAUUCAGAGUACCACAACAACAACAACAAAGAAGUCAAAAGCAAAGUCUAAAUGUCAAUGAAAGCAAUAUUGUUACGAGGGAAACAUACCUUUGUUGGGGGGGCGUCAACCACAAUGAGGCAAACAAUUUCAAAGCAAUGGUACGGGAUGUGGGCAUGCUUAUUUAUUUACCACAUCAGGAAAAGCUAUAUCUGAAAUAUUAACUGCUUGAAAGUUCAACCUGUGGCAACUUUGCUCAACUCCAUCUUGCAAUGGCUUUCAAUGGAAAAUUUAUUAUUGUGUAUAAUCAUUUUUAGGACAAUAUAUCAUUGCCCUUUUUGCAACUUAUGUGGGCUUGGAAAGGGUCUCGGAAUUCUUUAUUUCAUUGUAUGACGUGUAACUAUUGUUUGGGUAUAACGUUAUUGGAUCAUAAGUAAAGGGAGAAACAUUUGUUUC